rnacentral:rRNA from 1 species
UACGUAGGGUGCGAGCGUUAAUCGGAAUUACUGGGCGUAAAGCGUGCGCAGGCGGUUUCUUAAGUCAGAUGUGAAAGCCCCGGGCUUAACCUGGGAACUGCGUUUGAAACUGGGAGACUUGAGUGUGGCAGAGGGGGGUGGAAUUCCACGUGUAGCAGUGAAAUGCGUAGAUAUUUGGAGGAACACCGAUGGCGAAGGCAGCCCCCUGGGUUAACACUGACGCUCAUGCACGAAAGCGUGGGGAGCAAACAGG